CUUGUGUCGCACCAAAAUUAAUGGGCAAAAGAUAAUUCCUUCUUCAAAUCUUCUAAGGAAAGACAAAGCAUACAUUAGGUCGGUGAGCAUCGUAGGCCGUACUUCUCUCUCAUGUUCUCGUUGCACGUUAGCUAACGUACGCUGGUGCAGCUGGCAUGGGAGAGGUCAAGGUCGCGGACGAGGAAGGCCAAAAAAAUCAUCAAUUAUUGCUUUCGGCAGCUCAGUAAGUACUAGUUCUCAACCUAGGAAGAUAAUUUCAUCUCAAUCAAAAGAGGCGAUACUACCGGAGCAACAAAUGACAGAGAUGAUUACGAGUGAAGAAGGAUCAUCUUCAAUUGCUAUUGGAGUGAGCAGGAAAUUGAACCUUAGUGCAGUGGUAAUAGCAGGGCAAACGGAUAAUGUUGUUGCAUCUAGAUAUGGGAAGAAAGCCAAUGGAACAGUAGCCAUGGCUAACCCUAAUCAGAGUAUUGACGACAGUGACUUAGCAAAGGUAAAGGGAAAAUGCAAAGGAGUUGAACACAGAUAAAAAUAAACCAGUAGAUCCUAAAAUUGAUACUGUGAAUCCUAAGGAGCAGACUAAUGUUACAAAUAGAAUUGAGCAAACAGUGUUACUGAAAAACUCUAGGAACAGACUAAUCCAGCAGUACUACCCACACAUAACAGAGAAGGGCCAAAAGCUUGGGUGAAUUUGUUUCAGCAGAAUCGAGUAGCUACGCAUGGCAUGACACUUCGAUCAUACCUCCUCAAAUUCUUGAUGGGCAAUCAGUAAUGCAACUAGAGCUUCAAGAUAUGGUGGAAGAAGAGGAGAAAUGGAGUGCGGCUAUGAUUGCGUAUAUAAUGAGGAGAUAUAUUACACAACAUUGGCUAGUUAUUGCUGAGCCGGAUUUGUUCUUACAUGAUGAAGAUAAAUGCACUACCAAGCAAACAAGAAUUUCUUAUGCAAGGAUGUCGAUAGAAGUCAAUGUAACAAAGACUCUACCUACAGAUAGCUGUUAUGGACCCUAGAAGCAGAAAAUUCCAACAGCAAUUGGUGUAUGAGUGGAAGCCUAACUAUUGUGACAAGUGCCAGAUGAUUGGUCACACAUGCGCUUCUCAACAAGAUCCUAGAAUGCAAUAUAAUGAAUAACCAAAACGAAGAAGAGAGCCAAAGAAAGUCACAUAUGAAUGGAGAUAUAAAGGGACAAUGGUGAGAGAAAAUACCAACAAAGUGAAUCAGCCACAAGCUACCACAACACAAGAACAAGAGCAGGUUAGCUUAUCAGUGGUGACACAGGAAGCUAACUUGUCAUUGGUGACACAAGAGACUAGACAGAUUCAUGAGGCUACUGGAUAUGAGGCUACAAGAAUAAGAUCAAUAGGAAAAGGCAAGGGGGUGGAAAGCCUAGUGAUGAACUUUACUAUCACCUCUUGUUAACAUGAAUAGCCUCCAUAAAGGUUCAAUGGGUACCAAUGUGAGAUCCUCCCUACCUCAUGACAUAGGUGGGGGCACUCACAAGACUCCAUGACUUGGCUAAUUUGGAAUGUCAGGGGCAUCAAUAAGUGGUACAAGCAGAAAGAGCUUAAGAACUAUUUAAAAUCCAAAAACAUAAAGCUUGCAGGUAUCAUUGAAACUAGAGUUAAGGAACAUAAUAUAAUGAAAGUGUGCUCCCACAUUGCCCCUAACAGAGAAGUUUUGCACAAUUAUACCGGUGAAACUAAUGGGAGAAUUUGGCUAAUGUGGGAUCCCAACUAUUAUAAGGUUACUCUAAUUAGAGAAGAAGCACAAGUUAUUCAUUGUCUAGUCAAAGGGAUCAUAGGAUAUCAGGAGUGUCUAUUUAUAAUAGUCUAUGGAUACAACACUAUUGAGCAGAGAAAACAUUUGUGGGAUAACCUGAUUGAGAUUGGACAAGGGAUCAACAAACCAUGGAUCCUUGUGGGAGAUUUCAACUCUGUACUGCAGCUUCAAGACAGGGUGAAUGAAAAUCCAGUAAGCCUCACUGAGGUUCAAGGCUUUACAAAAUGUGUUCAAGACUUAGAUAUCAAUGAGUUGGCAUGGGAAGGAGCAUACUACACUUAGUCUAACAAACAAGCUGGAGUGGAUAGAAUUUGAAGCAGAAUUGAUAGAAUGUUUGAAAACUAUGAAUGGAUGAUGCAAUGGGGACAUAUCACUACUGUCUAUGAUGUCCUUUUCAUAUCUGAUCAUGCUCCUAUGAGCUUGAAUUUCACAGUAGACCAGGGCAGCAGGAGAAUACCUUUUAAGGUUUUUAAUAUGUGGGUUGAACAUGAAUCCUUCCCAAAUAUUGGUCAGCAAGUUUGGAAUCAGAGAGUGUACAAGUGAAAAAUGUAGGACAUCUGGGUGAAAUUGAAUAAACUCAGACCAUUGAUCAGGAAACUUAAUAUUGAGGAGUUUAAAUUUAUCAGACAGAAGAUUGAUGCAACUAGGAAUGAGCUUCUCAUAGUCCAAAAGAACAUGAAUUCAAACUAUACUGAUGAGCUGACUGAGAAGGAGAACAACCUUAUCCAAAGCCUAGAAAAAUGAGAUAUGCUAGAAGAAGGAGCUCUAAGACAAAAAGCUAGGGAAAAAUGGAUAAAAUUAGGUGACUCUAAUACAAGGUAUUUUACAACUGUGAUAAAGAAAAGGAAUCAUAGGAAGCGGAUUCAGGAACUUCAUUCACUUGCAGGUUGCAGACUAACUGAACCUGAAGCUAUAAAAGUGAAGAUUGCUGAUUUCUAUAAAUCACUGAUGGGGACUGUUGAUCAUUCACUACCUGCAAUAGGCUAGUUGGUGAUGUAAAAGGGACAAAGACUUUCACAACAACAGAGAAGGUUUCUUUGUAAGGAUGUAACCGAGGAAGAGAUUUAUGAAGGAAUAUGCUCUAUUGGAGAUGAUAAAGAACCAGGAGUAGAUGGAUACAAUGCAUGUUUUUUCAAGAAGGCAUGGCCUGUUAUCAAAGAGGAAAUUAUAGAAGUUGUGUUAGAUUUCUUUGCUACUAGCAGGAUAUACAGAGCUAUCAACUGCACUUCCAUUACAUUAAUACCCAAGACUGCCAAGCCUAAAACUAUAAAGGAGUUUCGACCAAUUGCCCGCUGCACUGUACUCUACAAGUUCAUCUCUAAGAUUCUGACAUCUUGACUAGAAGCUGUCAUCACCACUAUUAUCAAUGAAGCUCAAGUUGGAUUCAUUCCAAGGAGAAGAAUUGCAGACAAUAUAAUCUUAGCACAUGAACUAGUGAAGGCCUAUGCUAGAAAACACAUCUCACUUCGAUACAUGAUCAAGAUAGACCUUCAGAAAGAAUAUGAUUCUGUAGAAUGGCCGUAUAUAAGACAAGUCAUGGAAGAGAUGAGGUUUCCUUAGUUAUUUACCUCAUGGAUAAUGAAAUGUAUUCAAAUUGUUACUUACUCCAUCAUUGUUAAUGGGGAGCCAACAACUCCCUUUAAUGCUGCUAAAUGAUUAAGACAAGGUGAGCCAAUAUUACCUUUCUUAUUUGCUAUUGUAAUGGAGUUCCUGAGCAGAAAUCUUAAUGGUCUUAAGUCAGUUAGAGAUUUCAAAUAUCACCCUAGGUGUGCCAAGCUUGAGAUAACUCAUCUUAGCUUUGCUGAUGAUCUACUGUUGUUUACUAGAGGUGAUAUCAAAUAUGUAAAGGCAAUACAGAAGUUUCUACAAUUCACUCAGGUGUCUGGACUGUAGGCUAACAUGAACAAGAGUGAAGUCUAUUUUGGUGAAGUUCCUACAGAGCACAGGCAUAAGAUAUUGUAACAUCUAGGAUUCACAGGUGGAGAAUUACCCUUCAAGUAUCUUGGAGUUCCAUUGUCUACAAAGAAACUCAGUAUACUGUAGUGGUAACCCCUUAUAGACAAAAUGACUGCAAGGAUCACCUCUUGGACUACAAAGACACUGUCCUAUGCAGGGAGGGUGCAGUUAGUUCAGAGUGUAUUGUUUGGUAUCUAGGCUUUCUGGGCUCUGCUGUUUGUGAUACCUACCAAGGUGGUUAAGCUGAUUGAAGGACUAUGAAGAUCAUAUAUCUGGUCAUGUGCCAAUGUAAUCACCAAAAAAAUAUUGGUUGUAUGGGAUAGUAUUUGUCUGCCCAAAGCUGGAGGUGGACUCAAUCUCACUAACCGAAGACUUUGGAAUCGUGCAGCAAUAGCCAAAACUUGCUGGGAUUUGGCACAAUGACAGGACAAACUGUGGAUUCGAUGGAUUCACACAUACUAUAUUAAAGGACAGCAGUUCACCAACUGAAAAAUACCACAACAAGUUUGUUGGAUGGUUAGGAAAGUCUUUGAGGCCAAGGAAGUUCUAGAGAAUCAACAGUAUAUGCAGUCGCACAAGAAAAUCUUAAUCAAACAAAUAUACUUCACUCUGCUUGGUGAUUACACUCGCGUGGAAUGGAAAAGUUUACUGUUUAGCAAUGCAGCCCGACCAAAAGCAAAAUUACAAUGUGGCUCAUGAUGCAUGAAAAGCUAUUAACCUCUGAUAGGUCGUGUAAAUGGGGACUCAAUGUAGAUACACAAUGUGUACUUUGCCAAUUGCAGGAGAAAAAUAGAGAACACGUGUUUAUGAAGUGUGAGUACACUAAAAAAAUUUGGAACAAACUAUUUCAAUGGCUGCAAAUGCAAUGCCCAAGAGCCCGAGAUGGGGAACAACAUAACCAGUGGAUCAUCACAUGCUCUAAAGGCAAAUCUCAACAGG